CCUACGGGAGGCAGCAGUGAGGAAUAUUGGACAAUGGGCGAAAGCCUGAUCCAGCCAUGCCGCGUGCAGGAUGACAGCCCUACGGGUCGUAAACUGCUUUUAUACGGGAAUAAACCCCUCUACGUGUAGAGGGCUGAAGGUACCGUAAGAAUAAGGAUCGGCUAACUCCGUGCCAGCAGCCGCGGUAAUACGGAGGAUCCAAGCGUUAUCCGGAUUCAUUGGGUUUAAAGGGUCCGCAGGCGGGAUAUUAAGUCAGUGGUGAAAGCCUACCGCUUAACGGUAGAACUGCCAUUGAUACUGGUAUUCUUGAGUGUAGUUGAAGUAGGCGGAAUAAGUCAUGUAGCGGUGAAAUGCAUAGAUAUGACUUAGAACACCGAUUGCGAAGGCAGCUUACUAAGCUAUUACUGACGCUCAGGGACGAAAGCGUGGGGAGCAAACAG
rnacentral:rRNA from 1 species